rnacentral:tRNA from 1 species
GCCUGGAUGGUGAAACUGGCAGACGCGCAGGACUUAAAAUCCUGUGACCGAAAGGUCGUGCGGGUUCGAGUCCCGCUCCAGGCA